UUGGAGGGCAAGUCUGGUGCCAGCAGCCGCGGUAAUUCCAGCUCCAAUAGCGUAUAUUAAAGUUGUUGCAGUUAAAAAGCUCGUAGUUGAAUUUCGGGGUCAGUAGGUUGGUCAUGCCACUGGUAUGUACUGGUCUCACUGAUUCUUCCUUCCUGAUGAGCCGUAAUGCCAUUAAUUUGGUGUUGCGAGGAAUCUGGACUGUUACUUUGAAAAAAUUAGAGUGUUUAAAGCAAGCUAACGCUUGAAUACAUUAGCAUGGAAUAAUGAAAUAGGACGUUCGAUCCUAUUUUGUUGGGUCCUAGGAUUGACGUAAUGAUUAAUAGGGAUAGCUGGGGGCAUUAGUAUUCAAUUGUCAGAGGUGAAAUUCUUGGAUUUAUUGAAGACUAACUACUGCGAAAGCAUUUGCCAAGGAUGUUUUCAUUAAUCAAGAACGAAAGUUAGGGGAUCGAAGACGAUCAGAUACCGUCGUAGUCUUAACCAUAAACUAUGCCGACUAGGGAUCGGAUGAUGUUAAUUUUUUAAUGACUCAUUCGGCGCCUUACGGAAACCAAAGUGUUUGGGUUC
rnacentral:rRNA from 1 species